rnacentral:RNase_P_RNA from 1 species
UAAGUAGACUAAGUAAUCGUAAGUAGAGAUUGAAUCUCUACUUGAGGAAAGUCCGAGCUCCAUAGAGCAGGGUGCUGGGUAACACUCAGCCAAAGUGAUUUGCGGGAAAGUGCCACAGAGAGUAUACCGCCUACUGUAAAGUAGGUAAGGGUGAAAGGGUGCGGUAAGAGCGCACCGGGGGUCUGGUGACAGACACCGCAUGGUAAACCCCGCCUGGAGCAAGACCAAAUAGGGGGAGGUUAAGGGCUGCUCGUCCAUCUUCUCGGGUUAGGUCGCUUGAGGUAGUAGGUAACUACUACCCUAGAUAGAUGAUUACUUUAAAUGACAGAACUCGGCUUACAGGUCUGCUUAUUUG